GCCACCCAGAAAGCUUUCCUCCUUAUCCAUCCACCAUCUUGUAGCAAGAAAAUGACAUCUACCAAGUCUAAUAUAGGGGCAGUUAUAUUUGGCGGUACCCACUCUGUAGGAAGGGUAAGAUCACUAGCAGUAUCAUGAAUCAACUCAGAUGUCUGCCCUAAACCAUCAGUCUGUCUUCCUUUUACAAUCUUCCCGAAAUUACUAACAGACACAUUUUUUUGAGUAUCUGAAUCACUGCCUGAAUCCUUUAAUGACUUUCCAUGUUCUUUACCAAGCUUUUUACCCGGAGAAUGAGAUGUGUAUUUUGGACUCAUCUUUACCCCAUCUGUGACAACAUUAUGUUUUGUCUGUAAUGAAGAAUCCUUGUUGUCCGUGCCUAACUGUUCCCUCUUUGCGGAUAUAGAAUUGAUUACAGGUCCAACAAAAUUUGAAACCACCUUAUUCUUUUCAGAUGGCUUGCCAUCAAGGUCAACUGACAAUGUCUCAACGAUGGAAAAGGAAUUUGAGAAAUAAUAUGUCUGAGAAUCAACACUAAGAAAGUCCCAAACUUCAAUAGAUCCUGAAAUUGUAGGAAGUUGCAAGAGCUUCUUGAGAUAUAUAUCGAGCAAUUUACACCGUUCUUGAAUGACAGGC
rnacentral:misc_RNA from 1 species